GCAGUGCAUCAAUUAAUAGGAAAGCCAUAUGCACAACAAUUCCUGCUUGUCUUGCUAAGACUUGAUUCAAGCCACAAGAUGCGGCCUGUGAACAUUUAGAAGUUUCAGUCAAAAACAGCAGAAUGUGAAGAAGCUGAACAGAAAAAGAGGACAUGAUCAGAAGACAAUUGCAAAAGCAGCUCUGUUUUUCUAGUCUGCAUUUCCUAUUAAAAAGGAUAUGGUGAUCUUGGAAUUAAGAAUCCUUCGAAGUGGCUUUUCAUCCUAAUUUAGAGCAUCUUGACUCUUCUGGGUCUGUUGAAGAGGCAGGAAAAUGAGUUCCCUGGUGUCUUCAGAAGUGCAAAGUGGGAGAGAGAACAUUUUUGGAGAUGCUCCCGCUACAAUACAACUGGCUAGCGUCGAAGAUACCUCGGAAUCUGAGAUGGACGUGGCGGAUGUCGUCACCUCAACAUCUUUGCCGCCUGAAGAGGAGAUGAAUUUCUUCUGAGAUGCUCAGUGCGCAAGAGGCAAGCUACUGUGCAUUACACACUGACCAUAUCAGAGGCAGAAUUGCUGGAACUGACGCAGUACUAAAACACCCCAGGAGGAGCUGCAAAAAAGAACCAGCCUAUAUCCUCGAACUCAGAAGAGGAAGGAUGUAGUGAUUGUAACAAGGUUAGCCAG